rnacentral:rRNA from 1 species
CGGCGGACGGGUGAGUAACGCGUGGGUAACCUGCCUCAUACAGGGGGAUAACAGUUGGAAACGGCUGCUAAUACCGCAUAAGCGCACAGUACCGCACGGUACGGUGUGAAAAACUCCGGUGGUAUGAGAUGGACCCGCGUCUGAUUAGGUAGUUGGUGGGGUAACGGCCUACCAAGCCGACGAUCAGUAGCCGACCUGAGAGGGUGACCGGCCACAUUGGGACUGAGACACGGCCCAA